GAUGAACGCUGGCGGCGUGCUUAACACAUGCAAGUCGAACGAAGCACCUUGAUUUGAUUCUUCGGAUGAAGAUCUUGGUGACUGAGUGGCGGACGGGUGAGUAACGCGUGGGUAACCUGCCUCAUACAGGGGGAUAACAGUUAGAAAUGACUGCUAAUACCGCAUAAGACCACAGCACCGCAUGGUGCAGGGGUAAAAACUCCGGUGGUAUGAGAUGGACCCGCGUCUGAUUAGGUAGUUGGUGGGGUAACGGCCUACCAAGCCGACGAUCAGUAGCCGACCUGAGAGGGUGACCGGCCACAUUGGGACUGAGACACGGCCCAAACUCCUACGGGAGGCAGCAGUGGGGAAUAUUGUACAAUGGGGGAAACCCUGAUGCAGCGACGCCGCGUGAGCGAUGAAGUAUUUCGGUAUGUAAAGCUCUAUCAGCAGGGAAGAAAAUGACGGUACCUGACUAAGAAGCACCGGCUAAAUACGUG
rnacentral:rRNA from 1 species